GGCCUUGACAUACUAAGAACUUUCCAGAGAUGGAUUGGUGCCUUCGGGAACUUAGGAUACAGGUGCUGCAUGGCUGUCGUCAGCUCGUGUCGUGAGAUGUUGGGUUAAGUCCCGCAACGAGCGCAACCCUUUUCCUUAUUUGCCAGCGGGUCAUGCCGGGAACUUUAAGGAUACUGCCAGUGACAAACUGGAGGAAGGCGGGGACGACGUCAAGUCAUCAUGGCCCUUACGGCCAGGGCUACACACGUGCUACAAUGGUCGGUACAAAGGGUUGCUACCUCGCGAGAGGAUGCUAAUCUCAAAAAGCCGAUCGUAGUCCGGAUCGCAGUCUGCAACUCGACUGCGUGAAGUCGGAAUCGCUAGUAAUCGCGGAUCAGAAUGCCGCGGUGAAUACGUUCCCGGGCCUUGUACACACCGCCCGUCACACCAUGGGAGUUUGUUGCACCAGAAGUAGGUAGUCUAACCGCAAGGAGGACGCUUACCACGGUGUGGCCGAUGACUGGGGUGAAGUCGUAACAAGGUAAGCGUAGAUGA
rnacentral:rRNA from 1 species